rnacentral:rRNA from 1 species
UACGUAGGGGGCUAGCGUUGUCCGGAUUUAUUGGGCGUAAAGAGCGUGUAGGCGGCCAGGUAGGUCUGCUGUGAAAACUCGAGGCUCAACCUCGAGACGUCGGCGGAAACCAUCUGGCUAGAGUCCGGAAGAGGAGAGUGGAAUUCCUGGUGGUAGCGGUGAAAUGCGCAGAUAUCAGGAAGAACACCCGUGGCUAAGGCGGCUCUCUAGUACGGUACUGACGCUGAGACGCGAAAGCGUGGGGAGCGAACAGG